UAGUCCUACUAAAGAGUGCUGCAGAAAAAUCUUGAAUAUGAGAUAGUGGAUAACAGGUACCAUGUGAAAAGGUGCUGCUUAAGUACUGCUCAAUAGUCUGCAAAUACCUUGUUCAACCAUGAACUUAUUAAUUCCUUUUUUGCAAAUCUGAAUUUUUCUGGAGAUAUUCUUCUUGAUAUUAAGAAUUUAGGAGGUUCUUCAGUAAUAUUACUAUGAUCAAAAAGUAAGGUGACUUUUUGAAUAAAACACAAAGUAUUUAUUUA